AGUUCAGAACGUGUGAAUCAGAAUCUCUGCAGGCACGGUCCAAGCGCUGGAACUUUUAAAAGCUCCUCGGGUGACUCUAGUGUGUAGCCUGGAUUGAGAACCACUGAACUAAAUUGUUUACGUGAUAAGGCAGGAUGGAAGUGUGCAUGCUUGAGUAGAAAGGAAGAGGCACCAAGAGGAGCUAAAGAUGCUGGAGAGGAAGAGCAUAGGUGUGAACCCACAGACGUAAGAAAAAUGAACAUCUUUUAGCUGAAAAAAGAUACCUCAGAAAGAUACGUAGAUCUGACUGGAAAUAGUGUAUCUGCCUUGUGAUGCUCAUUUUUCAUUCCUACCCGUCAAUUAUGCAAGGGCUGAUAUUGAAAUUCAGUUAGUCUGGGGAGACUCUGCUUCUGGCUGUGGGUGACGGACGGGGCUUGCCUCUGGGCUGUUCCAUGCAUCUCAUUCCAGGCUAACAGGCAGCAGCAACUCAGGGCAUAUUCUUCUCCUGGCUACAGCAAGUGAGCGGGCAAUGGCUCAUUUUAAACCUCUGCUCAUGCAACAGGCUCUGACAUCCCAUUGGCCAAAAUGAGUCAUACGCUAAGUCCAAAGUCAAGGGUGGAAAGAACACGCUGCCCACCAUGAGUCCAUGUCAAGGGUAUUGAAGUGUAAUUUUCUAGCAGGAGAAUGAAGAAUUGAGGCCAAUGAUUCAGUUCACCACAGGUUUCCAAGAUUUUUGUAGUCACUUUUCAUCUCACUAAAACCUAUCAUACAAACCCCACCACGGGCAGUGGUAUCUUUGUCGUCUUUCCCCAGAAUAUGUUUUGUUUAUUCCCAUCAAAGCUCCCGCCUCAUCAGGAGUUACACUAACACAGCUUUUAACUCAAACAUCCUUUUUUUUUUUCUUUUUUUAAAUGGAAAUCAUUCCUUAUUGAAUUCUUCUCCUGGAUGCCUUUCCUUAGAGAUUCUCACGCACACACAAAAGUAGUCCUCCUCUGUUCUUUAGGGAAACAGAACCCAGAAAACUCUGUCAAGUGAAGCAUGCUGGCUACGUAUGUGUUUUCCUCCGACAGAAUAGCACACUUCCCAAACCACUUCACUUGUACUAAUACAAAUUUACUUAAUUUUGCAGCAG
rnacentral:lncRNA from 1 species